rnacentral:rRNA from 1 species
UACGAGGGGGGCAAGCGUUGUUCGGAAUUAUUGGGCGUAAAGAGCUCGUAGGCGGUUCGUCGCGUCGGCUGUGAAAUCCCGGAGCUCAACUCCGGGUCUGCAGUCGAUACGGGCGGACUCGAGUUCGGCAGGGGAGACUGGAAUUCCCGGUGUAGCGGUGAAAUGCGCAGAUAUCGGGAGGAACACCGGUGGCGAAGGCGGUUCUCUGGGCCUUACCUGACGCUGAGGAGCGAAAGCGUGGGGAGCGAACAGG